GAUGAAGAACGCAGCGAAAUGCGAUACGCAAUGCGAAUUGCAGAACCGCGAGUCAUCAGAUCUUUGAACGCAAGUGGCGACAGCUAUGGCUGUCAUGUUUGCUUCAGUGU
rnacentral:rRNA from 2 species